ACUGCUAUUGGGAUUCGAUUAAGCCAUGCGAGUCGAGAGGGUUCGGCCCUCGGCUGACGGCUCAGUAACACGUGGAUAAUCUGCCCUAAGGUGGAGGAUAACCUCGGGAAACUGAGAAUAAUACUCCAUAAGUCUAGGAUGCUGGAAUGCACUUAGGCUGAAAACUUCGGUGCCUUAGGAUGAGUCUGCGGACUAUCAGGUUGUAGUCAGGGUAAGGACCUGACUAGCCUACGACGGAUACGGGUUAUGAGAGCAAUAACCCGGAGAUGAUAUCUGAGACACGAUAUCAGGCCCUACGGGGCGCAGCAGGCGCGAAAACUUCACACUGCGCGGAAGCGCGACGAGGGAAUCCCAAGUGUAUGCACGUAAGUGUAUACUGUUUCUCUGUCUAAAAAGCAGAGAGAGUAAGAGCUGGGUAAGACGGGUGCCAGCCGCCGCGGUAAUACCUGCAGCUCGAGUGGUGAUCGUUAUUAUUGGGCCUAAAACGUCCGUAGCCGGUCUUGUAAAUGCCUGGGUAAAUCGUAUGGCUUAACCAUACGAAUUCCGGGUAGACUGUUAGACUUGAGACCGGGAGAAGCUAGAGGUACUCCUGGGGUAGAGGUGAAAUUCUGUAAUCCUAGGGGGACCACCAGUGGCGAAGGCGUCUAGCUAGAACGGGUCUGACGGUGAGGGACGAAGCCCUGGGGCGCAAACGGGAUUAGAUACCCCGGUAGUCCAGGGUGUAAACGCUGCUUGCUUGAUGUUAGUCUGGC
rnacentral:rRNA from 1 species